AUAAACUCAUAAUUGAGAGAUAUAAACUAAUAAUUGAGAUAUAAUCUCAGAAUAGAGAUAUGAACUCAGAAUUGAGAUAUGAACUCAGAAUUGAGAUAUGAACUCAGAAUUGAGAUAUAAGAUCAAAAUAGAGAUAUGAACUCAGAAUUGAGAUAUAAACACAGGAUUAUGAGAUUGUGGGAUCAAAAGUUGCAAUAGCUUAUGUAUGUUUUUAUUCCGUGACAUAAACGUGCUUCGGUAGGAAUGGGACCAUUUUUGUUUGUUGCUGACAGUUUGGCUGGAGCUCAAGGACGCAGCGGCUUGCGACGCUCAUGACUUCCUCACACUUCUGAUCAUGUGAUGCUCCGCUGAGAGCGUCUGGACCGUUAACGGCUACGAAAUCACUCAGAUUUCCUUCAUCUUCUGCCUGACCUAAUUUUCUUCCCCAUCACUUUGUGUUAUCCUUUAUUUUUCCCUCUUUCUUGUUCACAUGAUCUCAAUAAAGCGGGUCAGGGGUCAUAGGUCAGACGAGACAUUCCAGAGCAUCACAGUCAGCGCUCGGCCUCGGAAACUACAUUGAACUCAUUAAAGGUGGAAAUAUCUUUAUAAAUAUAAUUCAGUUCUGCAGUCAGACUCAGAGGAGUAUUUAUAGCACAAUGAGCAUCGUAAUUAGGGUUUUUUUACAAACCUUUUUUAACACAAGCUAUACAUAAAUAUGCAUAAGUUAUAUAUAAAGUUCUUAUUUAUAAAUAUAAAUAAAUAUAUAAAGUAUAUAUAUUAAACAAAAAUUACUAUUCACUUUUCCAAUAUAUUUCCACUAAUCCAAAAUAUAUAAUAAAUAUAAAAGAAUAUAUUAUAAAUAUUAAAUAUUUAUUCAUUAUGAAAACAUGCAUAAUACAAAAUAGAUAUUUAAUAUUUGUUUAUAUGUGUAUGUGAGGGUCUGGAUGCUGAUUUCCACAGGGCUCCUCUGAAGUCAUCCUGUGCAAAACAGUGCCUUCAACACCUGAAAUCUGAUCUCAGACUGGAGUCAGACAGAAAGAGGAGUUUGUUGUGCUGGAUCAACACUGCCUCCUGCAGACCGCUGGUGCUGAGCACAGAUUUCAGAACAUUCACCAGCCAUGAAACUGCAUUUGGUGAAACUCGAGUUGCUAGAGAAUGAAGCUCAUCUCAUCUCUGAACCCAGAAGCCCUUCGCAGCUCAAGAGCGCCACCUGCAGGCUGAUGCUUGGAGCGGAGAAGUAACAUUUUCCUAUUUAUUCACUAGCACCUCUCCUGUCCAUGUUGAGAAGAACUUUUGCUGUGAAAUAACUUUUUUUUGU
ensembl:lncRNA